AGUGACUCCGGCAGGAUGGAACGUUCAUGCGUUUAAUGACUGAGCCAUAAAACAACUGUGAGGGCCUCCAUUUCUUGGAACGUCAGCCUGUGGAAUUGCUACCACACCACUGCUCCUGGACCCCCGCCUACUGUGAGACUCUGUGCCAUUUUGCAAACACUCAGAAGGAUGAAACCUCAGAGCAGCUAAGGUUCUGGAACCUGGGGAGAGACACAGUAAAUAUUUAGGAGGGAAAAUGAUGAGGACUUGAAACAUCAAGUUGGAAUAUAGGAGAUGACAUUUCUGGAUGAAUAAAAUAAUGGCUCCUAUGAUUCGGACUUGGCAGUGCCACCCACUGAAAGAGAGAAAACACAGUAUGAGGAAUAGAACAGGAGUUGAGAGGACGGCAAAUUGCAUUUGACAUGACUGUGGAACAUCCAAGUAGAGAAGCCCAGCUGGAGUUGGAAACAGAAAUCUGAAAUUUGGGGAAGAGGUUAUCUGUAUGUGGGUGGUCGUUGAAACCAGGAGACAAUUAGAUUCCUAAAAGAGUAUAAAGUGUGAAAAAUGUAAUUCACCAAAUAUCUAAUGACUCAACACUCUCUGAGGAGACAUCAGUAUAUAAUACAUGGUCAGAUAAGAGAAACCCAUAAAGAGAGAGAGGGAAAAAUUCAAAGAUUCUGUUUGGAGUAUCAUUAUAGUCUCAAAAGAAAAACAAUUGAAAACACUCUAAGUAAAUCUGACUCAAAUGCCACAUAAACCUGAAUUUGAAGGAGGUCAUGGGACAAAGGCGUCAAGCUUUAACAAAUCUCCGCUUCCCACCACAGUCUGUCAAUCUGCCAGCCAGCUGUACCAUCAUCACCUGGGAAGCUUUUUAGAGAUAAACGUUCCAAGCCCCUUGCCUGUGUAUUUUGAUCUAGGGGGUCUUACGUGAGGCUCAGACUCAGUAUUUUUAGAAGCUUCUUCAAUCCAACAUGCCGCCAGCAUUGGAAACUUCUUCCUAACACCUUCAGCCCUCACCACCUCAAGGUGCACACUUCAUUUUUUUUUUCUUACAGAAGAAAAUAAGUCUCGGUGUAUUUCUUGAACUUGG